AAAUGCUUCAAGACUGAAACCACAUUUUGAUUAUGUUAUUUUAUUUAUUGUUGCUUUCCUAGUCUUACGGAGUCAGUUAGAAUGUUUUAGGAGUUUUUUUUAUUCUCUCUAUUCUGUCCAUGGCUUAGCAUUAGUGGAAAAUCAGUCUUUUACGUCACCCAACUUCUCACUAUCACUUCUCACUUUCUCAUCUCACUCUCACUCUCGCGCGGUUUCAAGCUUCAACCAUGGCUUCUUCUAUCUCUUGCUCAUAGCUUCAAUGGUUGCGUCAACUCAUUCUCCUAUUGGAUCCUCAUAUGAUUCUAAAGAGAAAAGUCAUCUUUCUAUUGCGGGCUACUGAUUGCAAUCUUGCAGUUUGAUUUGAGCAACUAAAACAAUGGGUGAAGGAAGUUCAAAUAAGAGCUGAACUUUUCUGCUCAACAGAGAACCACGAGAAAGAGUGACAGAGGAAAAUGAAAUUUUCACCACUUUGCUUUUUGGUAGUUCCAUUGUAGUUCAUCACUUUAUGGUAGAGUUUCUUCCUCCAUUGGGAAAAAAAGGUUGUCUUACAUGGUGCUAUCCUCGUUUCACCUUUGGCCGGAAUGUGGAUAUUAUUGACCAAGGAAGAACAUCUCCUACAAUUGCACGUUUGAUUUUUUUUUGCCCUCGGAUGUUUUGGGUUGGAAAGCUUAUAUACAUUACGGAUUCAGAAGCAAACUAAGAGCCCUCUAUAACUUACCAGAAGAACCAUGUUCGGAUUGUUGCGUUCACUAUUGUUGUUUACUUUGUGCUAUUUGUCAAGAGUACAGAGAACUUAAAAACUGUGGACUGGACCCCUCACAAGGUCACAUCUAAUUGGAAAAUACCUUUGGCUGUUGCAACAUUCAUUUUGGCAAGUAACUUUUUGUUCUCCAAUAGUUACCACAGUAUUUGAAACUUUUUGUUGUGCAACUAUUUGUUCAUUUUCUCAUUCAAUUUUAAGAUAUAUUUUCUAACUACCAAGUAGGUGCGAAGACUGUCAGCAUGUGAAACUAUGGGUUCUGCUACAACAAUUUGCAAUGAUAAUACUAGAACUUUGACCUUAAAUCAGGUGGGUUCUUUGGCCAGAGAAUUAAAUAGUCCAUAAUUUAUAUUAAUGCAUCUGAAUGGAAGCUCCAAUAGUUAUCUAAUUGAUGCAACUCGUUGGUACUUGGUUCAUUGGAAAGGAGCUGCGGAGAUUAUUUUAGGAACUUGUACUCAAUAUGUUGAUUCUGAUGGUACCUUGAAAUCUAUUGAAGAAGAAAAGGCAAGGAACAACUUCAUGUGAUAGAAAGUUUGUUGAGGGAAUUAAAAUUAUUGAACUCACGUACUCUAUGUUAAAGGUUUUCUCUUAAUAAUUAUAUUAAAGAUAAAUACUAUUUCAGGGAUAUAAUUAGUGAUAAUUUUAAACAAUAAUUUGAUAAAUACCUAAAAUAUAUGGAUUAUUAUUUCUAAAUUUAU